UACGAAGGGGGCUAGCGUUGCUCGGAAUCACUGGGCGUAAAGCGCACGUAGGCGGGUCCUUAAGUCGGGGGUGAAAUCCCGGAGCUCAACUCCGGAACUGCCUUCGAUACUGGGGACCUCGAGUCCGGGAGAGGUGAGUGGAACUGCGAGUGUAGAGGUGAAAUUCGUAGAUAUUCGCAAGAACACCAGUGGCGAAGGCGGCUCACUGGCCCGGUACUGACGCUGAGGUGCGAAAGCGUGGGGAUCAAACAGG
rnacentral:rRNA from 1 species